AUACGGAGGGUGCAAGCGUUGUUCGGAAUUACUGGGCGUAAAGCGCGCGUAGGUGGUCUGUUAUGUCAGAUGUGAAAGUCCACGGCUCAACCGUGGAAGUGCAUUUGAAACUGGCAGACUUGAGUACUGGAGGGGGUAGUGGAAUUCCCGGUGUAGAGGUGAAAUUCGUAGAUAUCGGGAGGAAUACCGGUGGCGAAGGCGACUACCUGGCCAGAUACUGACACUGAGGUGCGAAAGCGUGGGGAGCGAACAGGAUUAGAUACCCCGGUAGUCC
rnacentral:rRNA from 1 species